GAUUAACGCUGGCGGCGUGCAUAACACAUGCAAGUCGAACGGAAAGGCCCUGCUUUUGUGGGGUGCUCGAGUGGCGAACGGGUGAGUAACACGUGAGUAACCUGCCCUUGACUUUGGGAUAACUUCAGGAAACUGGGGCUAAUACCGGAUAGGAGCUCCUGCUGCAUGGUGGGGGUUGGAAAGUUUCGGCGGUUGGGGAUGGACUCGCGGCUUAUCAGCUUGUUGGUGGGGUAGUGGCUUACCAAGGCUUUGACGGGUAGCCGGCCUGAGAGGGUGACCGGUCACAUUGGGACUGAGAUACGGCCCAGACUCCUACGGGAGGCAGCAGUGGGGAAUAUUGCACAAUGGGCGGAAGCCUGAUGCAGCAACGCCGCGUGCGGGAUGACGGCCUUCGGGUUGUAAACCGCUUUCGCCUGUGACGAAGCGUGAGUGACGGUAAUGGGUAAAGAAGCACCGGCUAACUACGUG
rnacentral:rRNA from 1 species